UUUAUACUCCCUCCGUCCCAAAAUUCUUGCCUUAGAUUUGUCUAAAUACGGAUGUAUCAAGUCACGUUUUAGUAUUAGAUACAUACGUAUCUAGACAAAUCUAAGACAAGAAUUUUGGGACGGAGGGAGUAUUAG
rnacentral:pre_miRNA from 1 species